AAUAGUAGUAAUUCAAACUAGCCUCAGUAAGCAUGUUAUCUCAAAACGUUUCAUAGAACAUAAUCAUUAAAUCAUGCUUUUCAUGUAUGCAUUUCUACUAUAAAACAUGCAUUUUUAGAAAGGGUCCACUCACUGUACUUAGCCGCCGAAGAGCCACGCAACUAGCGAAGACAGAAACGCCACUAUAAUUGCCCCUAAGCACAUAAAUGGUCCAAUUAAUAAAACUAUAUAAUAGCA
rnacentral:lncRNA from 1 species